GCCAAACACUCCACGAUAUUGCACUGGCCCAUGGCCUGUGUUCGCAGGACCUUUGGUCUCCCCUUGAAUCUGUACAGAACAAAAGGUGGAUGGAGAAACUUUACAGAAUCACAGGGGAGGGAAGCAGCAUCUUCAGGUUAAAAGGGUCCAUAGUGAUCCUGGGGCAGCAAGGACAAUCAUCAAGGCCUGGACCUGCUUACGUUGCAAAGUUCUAACUUUUGCUGUGUCCAGUGGAAACGUGAAAAGGUCUGCAAUGCAGGCUGCGGUUCCCGCACCAAUAAACUUCACAGCGGCUGUAGGAGGCACAUCACUAGCUCUGAAUCCAACCAUGUUUAAUUGAA